UCAACGGGCGAUGGCAUCGGUGCACUCCUCCACAGGAGAGGGGACUGAGGGGGCUUGGGGACGGAGUGCAAGCUUUAAUCCGGUUCGUCCUUCAUAGUUUCUAAAGUCCGCUGUCGAGCUGACAGCUGACAAAGAUAGUAAGGAGGAAUUGAGAGGAAACUAUUUUUAAGCAGACAUCACUUGUCAGAUCUCGUCCCUGGUUUGACAAAGGGCAAGAGGAAUGCCGACACACACCGUCUGAAGGAAAAAGACCACGCGGCUGGAUGCAGGUUACACAUGGACCGAGAGAAAGCAGUGUUCAGUACACAAAGAGCUGCUGGCCUGUUGUUGGAGGUUUCUAAAUAUAACCUCUUAUUUCAUACUGCUGAAAAAAAAGAGAGAAAACCAGUCUAUUGCUGAGAACAGGGGACUUGAGCCUGUGUGGAGUGUGUGUGUGUCAUUGUCACUCAUAAAUACCAGCAACCUGUGAGGCACAGCGCCUUGCUGAGGGUGUUACAUAAGGACCAGAGAGGCUUAGUUGAGAUUUGUGUCCUCUUCAAUACGGCCCUCACACUGACAUCUGCUUGUGGCUGCUCCAUGAUGGCCCACUCACUCUGGACCGAAUCACAGGACGCUCACCUACAGAGGGAUUUUAUCAUAUAGAAUUCUACACCCCACAACCAAUUAUCAACACUUAACUUGUAUCGCUUGCCGCAGCUUCAGACUCAACAGGGCAUGUUGUAGAGUUAAAAGUUUUUAUGAUGUGUAUUUUACAGUACCUUCCGCACUGAGUAAGGAGUAAAUAAGAAAGCGUUGCAGAAUAUAUUACUGUUGUGGCUGUUAAAGCUACUAUGUGUAGAAAACUUUAGGGCAUCCCCAGUGGUAGUACUCUGACAGCACUCCUCCCCCAAAUUCCUUUGAAGUCAACAACACGAGAGAUACGGAAUAAAUCAACCCACAAUACGUCAUCAAGUGAUUCCUGGAGCUCACUGCACAUCACAUAAAAUAAUGUAAAAGUGGUAAUAUUACAGCUGUUGCACUGCAGUUGUGUCUUCUCUCUAACCACUUGACCGCUCUUCCAACCAACCCAAUCUACAAAAAUGCAACAUAAACAACUGGGACAGACAUUAGAACAAACAGUUCUUUGGCCAACCCUGCAGUAUGCCUCCUAUUAUCACAGAAAUGAGGUAACUGCUGGAUUCUAAGUAGUAUCCGAAUCAUUUGUUACGCAUUGUCUGUAAAAAUGAGGUGAUCGAACGGCGCUCUCUAACUAAACUUGUGGAGAUGAAGUAAUGAAUCACACUUAAGGGAGAGCGUGCUGCAUGUGUUCGCAAGAAGAUGUGAAGGGCAGAGGAGCUCUCUGUAGCGGAGAGAGAAAGAAACAGAACCCGGGACACUGUGGCAGCAUUUGAUUCCAGUUGAGCAUCAGAGCACUGGGUGUACUUUACUGAAGGACACAAUCAUUAAGACAGAGAGGAAGGGAGAGAAGGCAAAAUAAAGAUGGACACUGCCAUGACUCAAAGCAAAGUUCUCCCCGUAGAUGGGAUAUUAAAAGGCUCCUAUCUCAUCCCUGGACGGGUGCCCAGGACGGCAUGUGCCAGCCAAGAUAAGUUGUCUGGAUGUAGUCCAUAAAUGGACCCUAUUACGCUAAUUUAUCUCCCCAUUCACUUGCCGUAACUCUCCCCCUUCACUUUUCAACUUAAUCAACUUGUACAAUACAUACGAAAUGGGUUUAAUAAAUCCCUGCAGAAGAGGCUGAGGAGCUUCUCCAUCUUGGCUACUUCCACUUCAGGACCCUUAGGCAUUUCUUGACCCUUCUUGCUCUACACACACACAAGAGAGAGAGAGAGAGAGAGAGAGAGAGAGAGAGAGAGAGAGAGAGAGAGAGAGAGAGAGAGAGAGAGGAAUAAGAAAUGACUUGACUUCACACUUUCCAAGCACUGGGAGAGACCACAAACCCAGCAGGCAGGCAGUUAACAAGAGGAGAGCACAACAUAAUCAGACAGAAAGUGAAAUGGAUAUAAGGUCAAUAGUUGAACAGUAGUUUUAUUACUCCAUUAUUUAAUAAUUUCUUUCCACCAUAUUGUGAAAAGUGCUACCUAAAGGGCACAAUUGCAAAGGGCAAAUUCAAAGACAUCUUCUAAUAAAUACACUACUGUGUGUGCAAAAGCACAGCCACUUAAGAGCUAUAUAAUGUGGCUAAACGUUUGUCUUGUCCUGCUGCAGGACCUCUUUCUACCUCUGUUAAAGGAUAUUUAACAGGCCUAUUGUUACUCAUUUACUAUUGUCUAAGUACUAUUGUUAAGUCUUUUCUCAACUGAACUGGACUUUGAUUAAAGAAGCCUGAUAUAAUCUUAAAGUUCAACAUAGCUUCACUUGAUUUUAACCAUCCUAAAUCAGGAAAUAACACAUAUAAGAGCUGGGAAUUUAAGAGAAUAAAACGCAUUACAGCUGUAUGACCACUGUGCAACUGGUGACAUAAUCAUGCCACAUUUUAAGGUAGUUAUAUUAAUUUAUUAUAUAUAAUUAGCUGUAUAAUGAUAUUACAACUUACCGGCUAUGCUGUACAAAUAUGAUGGACGAUAUUAUUGUUCAUACUAAUAGAGACUGGAGAUUCUCAGGUGGAAGAAAAAGCAAAAAAAAAAAAAAAUGUGUAAAAAAAAUCUAGCAGUGUAAAGAUCUUAUUACUUAUAACUUACUGUUUAACAACUAUUUAUGUAAGCAGUGAAUCUAUUUACCUGUCUGGCUCUCACCAAGACAUCCAAGAAACUGGCACAAGAACGAAAAUGAAAGCAGUCCACAACUCAUUUGGGUUUAUUACAGAGACAACUGGAAGGAUGCAUCAAGAUGCUUCCUGUGGCCUGAAAGCUUUUUCACAGCAGACACUUGCUGGCAGAGGAAAAGCAGCAGUGUAACUAAUAAAAUGAAUGAUGGCCCAUUAUAUUCAAGCGUCCCGGUAAGUAAUUCUAGCGAGCCAAAAUGCACAUUACACAGGACCCUGGAACUAAAAAGGUCUAUUCUAGUCAAGUUUUAUUUAGUGUGUUCACACUGGAUAAAUGACAGCAUGAAGGAUAAAAAUACUAGUAUGCAUACUAAAAUACAUUAGUGUUGGUGGACCAUCCCUUAAUGCAACAGACAGUGGAAAUACACAGUCAUAAACUUUUAGCCUUAAUUUGAUGUCUGUGCAACUUUUAUCAUAUCCUGCUAGCAUGGCUCGUAUUAGUAUGGAAUUGGGACAGAGUGAGAAGUGUGAAACCUCUAUUCACUAGUCGAAUAAAUGAGGGGUGUCUUCUAACUCCUCCUAUGAAGCUUAGAAAAUGUAUAUCUAUAUUUUGAUGUAGCUAUUUUGAAGUGUGAAAUGGAUACAGCGAGGGGGCUAAUCCAGACAGACAGCUGCAUUCCCUAAACGAAUGAGCAUCAAACCUCGAUGCAACAUAAUAUCUCUGACAUGAUGAAUGGCUCAAUAAAGCAGAGGAGAGAAAGGCUGACUAACGCACACAACAGCACUUAAAAUUAAUAAAACUUCAAGUUUAAUCAAAAUCAUUAAAAUUCAUUAUCUCUCGGGAUGUCAACCCUUGUUCUGAUUUAUUUUCUAAAUUCUUAUUUUUGCUUGCUUUGCUUACAGCGACAGUGAAAUCCCUUUGCUGUGUCUACUGCAUACAGAUAGGAAGCCCCACCUGAGUUGCAAGGCUCAGAAAUUUAUGUCUGUUAAUUUUCUUGUACUCAACAUUAAUACAAAUUCAAAUGUUAUGAUAGACAUUAUAUUCUGGGAGACAGUAGAUAUUAACAGACAAUAACAAAAUAUUGCAUAACUGCCACUUGUGGUUUGCGGGCAGCAAAGAAUGAGGCCACUGCAAAGAGAUGAGCAGAUGAGAUGAACACAUUCAUGCUGCACACAGUUGAACAGAACAGCGCGUUGUGUUGAACACAGACGGGUCAUUUGGUGUUAGUGGUCAUCGAAAGCUGAGGAACUUUUGCAAUGUGUGUCUAAUGUACACUAUCAUUUCUUUACAGUUCACUUUCAGGUACUUAAUAUGCAUUAUGUGAAUUGUGACACACUUUCAGACCAGUUUUAAUUAGAACGUGAUGACUGCACAAACCUUAUCUAUCACAGCAGACUCUUGUUUCACCUUAGACUUUCAAACAUUUAAAGCACCACUGGCUAGUAACAAGGGACAUGGACUCUUGGGCCCACACAGACCCUCCACGAUUAACACCACAUAUCCACAGGCCUAUACAAUUCUGUGUGUACAGCAUAACAGCACGUACACCUGACACUAGCUCAUUAGGGACUGUAGCCCUUAGGCAUACAACUAGGAAAUAAGUGCUCGGUUCAGUACAGUGGAGAGCACUCUGCACAUUUUAGAAGAUACUUUGGCUAGGUGCACCCUGUAGUAAAUGUCUGUUUCCUGGCACUUUUUUUGUGAAGCAAAAAACAAUGAAUUAAAAACUAUUUGAGCAACCCUGCAGGGUAUAAGAGGUCAAGUGGACUGGAGUAGUUUAGUGAGAGUAAACGAGCCAAGAAGUUGUCUCAUUGGUCUUAUCGAAAGCCCUUGAAAUGUAGGUUACGGUUUGGAUUGCUAGGCCACUGUGCCAAUGGUUUGGGUAUAUUCAUGGGCCACCAUGCCCAUUGUGCUGGUUUUAGUAGGCUGCUGUGCCAGUUUUAUAAGACAUAUUAUUGAUAAUAUUUGCUGUGGGUGUUUGUGCCUGAUGCUUAUUUGCCACACAGAGCACUGUCAGUGGUGCUGAACUGUGCAAUUAUUUCCCAAUUGUAUGCUUUAGGGCUACAGUCUGAGGUCGCUAAUGAGGUAGCUCUGAAUGUGUGUGUAUGUGUUGUUAUGCUGUACCCAUACAAACUGUGUUUAUGCGUGUGGUGAAAGGAGAACUGUUUAUGUGUGUUGAAUCCAGACGUGUCAGUGCCGUGUAUAAUGCAUAAAAACGUGUUGUGAAAAUAAAUACGUGUUACUCGA